rnacentral:tRNA from 1 species
GCGGGGGUCGCAUAGCCAGGUCAAUUGCGCCAGCUUGAGGGGCUGGUCCGUAGAGGUUCGAGGGUUCAAAUCCCUCCCCCCGCA